rnacentral:rRNA from 1 species
AUUGAACGCUGGCGGCAUGCCUUACACAUGCAAGUCGAACGGCAGCACGGGUGCUUGCACCUGGUGGCGAGUGGCGAACGGGUGAGUAAUACAUCGGAACGUACCUUAUCGUGGGGGAUAACGCAGCGAAAGCUGUGCUAAUACCGCAUACGCCCUGAGGGGGAAAGCGGGGGAUCGAAAGACCUCGCGCGAUUAGAGCGGCCGAUGCCUGAUUAGCUUGUGGGUGGGGUAAAAGCCCACCAAGGCGACGAUCAGUAGCUGGUCUGAGAGGACGAUAAGUACACUGGGACUGAGACACGGCACAGACUCCUACGGGAGGCAGCAGUGGGGAAUUUUGGACAAUGGGGGCAACCCUGAUCCAGCAAUGCCGCGUGAGUGAAGAAGGCCUUCGGGUUGUAAAGCUCUGUUGCCAGGGAAGAAACACCGGCUCUAACACAGUCCGGGAAUGACGGUACCUGAAGAAUAAGCACCGGCUAACUACGUGCCAGCCGCCGCGGUAA